UACGUAGGUGGCAAGCGUUGUCCGGAUUUACUGGGCGUAAAGAGCGCGCAGGCGGUCGUUCAAGUCGCGUGUGAAAGCCCCCGGCUCAACUGGGGAGGGUCACGCGAUACUGAUCGACUGGAAGGCAGGAGAGGGUAGUGGAAUUCCCGGUGUAGUGGUGAAAUGCGUAGAUAUCGGGAAGAACACCCGUGGCGAAGGCGGCUCUCUGGGACGGUACUGACGCUGAGACGCGAAAGCGUGGGGAGCGAACAGG
rnacentral:rRNA from 1 species